rnacentral:rRNA from 1 species
CCUACGGGGGGCAGCAGUGAGGAAUAUUGGUCAAUGGGCGGAAGCCUGAACCAGCCAAGUAGCGUGCAGGAUGACGGCCCUACGGGUUGUAAACUGCUUUUAUACGGGAAUACCGCGCCUUACGUGUAGGUCUUUGCAUUUACCGUAUGAAUAAGGACCGGCUAAUUCCGUGCCAGCAGCCGCGGUAAUACGGAAGGUCCGGGCGUUAUCCGGAUUUAUUGGGUUUAAAGGGAGCGUAGGCCGCAUGUCAAGCGUGCUGUGAAAUGUCCGGGCUCAACCCGGGCCUUGAAGCGCGAACUGGCGAGCUUGAGGCCGCGGAAAGAAGGCGGAAUUCGACGUGUAGCGGUGAAAGGAUUAGA